rnacentral:rRNA from 1 species
CUCCGGUUGAUCCUGCCGGACCCGACUGCUAUCAGAGUGGGACUAAGCCAUGCGAGUCAACAUAGCAAUAUGUGGCAUACGGCUCAGUAACACGUAGUCAACAUGCCCAGGGGACGUGGAUAACCUCGGGAAACUGAGGAUAAACCGCGAUAGGUCAUCACUUCUGGAAUGGGUAAUGACUUAAAUCUAUAUGGCCCCUGGAUUGGACUGCGGCCGAUCAGGCUGUUGGUGAGGUAAUGGCCCACCAAACCUGUAACCAGUACGGGCUUUGAGAGAAGGAGCCCGGAGAUGGGCACUGAGACAAGGGCCCAGGCCCUAUGGGGCGCAGCAGGCGCGAAACCGCUGCAAUAGGCGAAAGCUUGACAGGGUUACUCUGAGUGAUGCCCGCUAAGGGCAUCUUUUGGCACCUCUAAAAAUGGUGCAGAAUAAGGGGUGGGCAAGUCUGGUGUCAGCCGCCGCGGUAAUACCAGCACCCCGAGUGGUCGGGACGAUUAUUGGGCCUAAAGCAUCCGUAGCUUGUUCUGCAAGUCCUCCGUUAAAUCCACCUGCUCAACAGAUGGGCUGCGGGGGAUACUACAGGGCUAGGAGGCGGGAGAGGCAAACGGUACUCAGUGGGUAGGGGUAAAAUCCUCUGAUCCACUGAAGACCACCAGUGGCGAAGGCGGUUUGCCAGAACGCGCUCGACGGUGAGGGAUGAAAGCUGGGGGAGCAAACCGGAUUAGAUACCCGGGUAGUCCCAGCUGUAAACGAUGCAGACUCGGUGAUGGGUUGGCUUUGAGCCAACCCAGUGCCGCAGGGAAGCCGUUAAGUCUGCCGCCUGGGGAGUACGGUCGCAAGACUGAAACUUAAAGGAAUUGGCGGGGGGAGCA